UACUAUACUAAGAUGUAAUAAGAAUGCUAAAAGAUUAUAAGAUAAAUUCUUUAAAUUUAAAGAAUUUGGCGGUAAUUUAGUCUUUCCAGAGGAACCUGUUUUUGAAUCGAUAAGCCACGAAUAAUCUUACUUACCUUUACAGUUUGUAUACCGUCAUUAUCAGAUAGUAUUUAAAGACUAACUAUUAAAUAUUAAAGAAUAAUUAAAAUUAGAUCAAGGUGCAGCCAAUGGGUAAGUUAAAAUGGGUUACAAUUAAUUAGAUAUAACAACGGAAUAUAACUUGAAACAGUUAUAAGAAGGAGGAUUUGGUUGUAAAAGAUAUUAUCAAGGUAUACAGAUAUAAGCUCUAAAUUAU
rnacentral:rRNA from 1 species